GCCCGCAGUGGCUCAGAUGGGUAGAGCGUCUGCCAUGUAAGCAGGAGAUCGCGGGUUCGAGUCCCGGUUGCGGCA